rnacentral:misc_RNA from 1 species
AUCAUUUGCUUGGUUCUAUUUCUACAUGGGCAUUGCAUCUGGAUUUGUGGUGGGGAUUUGGGCAGUGUUGGAUCCUGUAGUGUUUAACAGAAGAUGAAGGCUUUUACAUUUCAAUCUUUUAGAUUAUUCAUGGGACAAAAUUAUGAUGUGGUUUAUGCAUGUAAAUAUUUUUAAGAGUAGUGAAUUUCUAGUUAUGUCCAAAAAACAUACAAGUGUGGAAUGGACUAUGCAUGUCUACAUAAGUUGGUACUUUACUUUUGUUGGGAGAGUGUUUUUGUAUGAUUGUACAAUUGCUAUGUAAUUUUACAUUGCAUUUAAUAAAAAUUAA